UCCUCACUCUCAGAAAGUCCAAACCCUUUUCGUUUUUUGUUGAGGUCUGCUGGGGUUUCAACUGACCUAGGCCUCCGUCGAUCACCUCGCCACUCACCUCGUUGAAGCGCAUUCUCUGCUGUCAAAGGCACUGUGUUGUCGGAGGUACCUAGUCGUUGCUGCUCGAAGUGAUGGAGAUUCUGAUUUUACCAUAGACCUAUAUCACGGUGGAAAUUUUCAUGAUACAAGGCACGGUUUAGAAUAUUUUGGGGGGAGGGUGUUGGAAAACUUGCACUUUGAGCUUGAUGAAUGGAGUUUGUAAGAAAUAGUUAGUGAAUUAAAGAGGUUAGGGUACAAAGGUUAUGCUAAGAUUUGAUACUGUGAACCAGGCUAUCAACUGAGGAUCUUAGAGAAUUGAUGAUAAGUGAUAGAGAUGCCAUGAGAAUGGGUAGAUUAUUAGUGUCACAAACUGUUAAGCAUUGUUCGAUAUAUGUUGUUGAUGGAUGUAAAAAAAGUAAUAGUGUUGAGAUAACCUCAAAUGAUGAGGAUUAUGUGCCUAUUGAAGCUAGUGGUCUGAUAGAAGUAGAAGUUGAAGGUGAAUCAGAAUCAUCUAGUGAGGAGGAUAAAUUUGAUAAUAGUGGAUUUGCUGCUGCAAAUGGAGACAAUGGAGGUGGAUCUACUGCUGUAAAUGGAGAUAAUGCUGCUUUUAUAAAUUUACAGGUGCUGCUGAUGUAAAUGUGAACAUAUUUGAUGAAAAUAACCUUAGAUUUGGGAGAGACAGGGAUCAAGAAAGGGCUGCUGCUGGAGCCUUGUUAGCCGACACCAACCACUGCUGUUGCAUCUUCACAGCCUCCCCUCACCACACCUGCUGCUGGAGCUUCUCAGCCACCUCCCAUAGUUGCUGCUGCAGAUUUUGCCUGGGCAAGUUAGUUAAAGACGCACACUAUUACAAUAGGCAACAACUACAAUGCAACAUGGCAGUGCACUAAGAUUUUGCUCUUUCCAGCUGCUGAAUGUCGAAUCUUGAUACGCAUGCAUUGGGCAUGUUCUCCAAAUUGCCGAUAUUCAAUCUCUGAUUCUCACUCCAACGGCAUCACGCAUGAUAUAGGCUCCCAAAAUUAGAAUUGGAUGCCUGAAAAUAGAGGCAUGAUCAGGCAUGAGUCAUUACUCAUUACUAAUGUGUUUAAUAUCAAACUUAGCUAAAUUUGGGGCUAAAUGGAGAAUUUGCAUUUUGA